rnacentral:rRNA from 1 species
AUUGAACGCUGGCGGCAUGCCUUAUACAUGCAAGUCGAACGGCAGCACGGGUGCUUGCCUCUGGUGGCGAGUGGCGAACGGGUGAGUAAUACAUGGGAACAUGUCCCGUAGAGGGGGAUAGUCCGGUGAAAGCCGGAUUACUAGUGCAUACGAUCUACGGAUGAAAGAGGGGGCACUACGGGCCUCGGGCUUUAGGGUUGCCCGGUGGCGGAUUAGAUAGUUGGUGGGGCAAUGGCCUACUAAGGCGAUGAUCAGGAGCUGGUCAGGAAGGGCAACGGGCCACACGGAGACGAGGACACGUCCAGACUCCUACGGGAGGCAGCAGUGGGGAAUUUUGGACAAUGGGCGAAAGCCUGAUCCAGCAAUGCCGCGUGUGUGAAGAAGGCCUUCGGAUUGUAAAGCACUUUUGUCCGGAAAGAAAUCCUUGGCCCUAAUACGGUCGGGUGAUGACGGUACCGAAAGAAUAAGCACCGGCUAACUACGUG